UGGGGAAUAUUGGACAAUGGGCGAAAGCCUGAUCCAGCAAUGCCGCGUGAGUGAUGAAGGCCUUCGGGUUGUAAAGCUCUGUCGGGAGGGACGAACGAGUGCGGGUAACACCGUGCUGUGACGGUACCUCCAAAGGAAGCACCGGCUAACUCUGUGCCAGCAGCCGCGGUAAUACAGAGGGUGCAAGCGUUGUUCGGAAUUACUGGGCGUAAAGCGCGUGUAGGCUGCGAUGUAAGUCGGAUGUGAAAGCCCUCAGCUCAACUGAGGAAGUGCAUCCGAUACUGCGUCGCUUGAGUGUCGGAGGGGGUGGCGGAAUUCCCGGUGUAGAGGUGAAAUUCGUAGAUAUCGGGAGGAACACCUGUGGCGAAGGCGGCCACCUGGACGACGACUGACGCUGAGA
rnacentral:rRNA from 1 species